GGCCCCAUCGUCUAGCGGCCAGGACAUCAGGUUUUCAUCCUGAAAACGGGGUUUCGACUACCCCUGGGGUCA
rnacentral:tRNA from 1 species